rnacentral:rRNA from 1 species
GACGAACGCUGGCGGCGUGCCUAAUACAUGCAAGUCGAACGCAGUGGGGACGGGUGAGGAACACGUGGGUAACCUCCCAUCAUAGAGGAUAAAACUUGGAAACAGGUGCUAAACCGAUAAGGAUGGAUGGACCCGCGGGGAAUUAGCUAGUGGGUGAGGUAACGGUUCACCAAGGUCACGAUGCAGAGCCGACCGUGGAGGGGUAACGGCAAGAUGGGGACUGAGACACGGCCCAGACGCGUAAGGGAGGCAGCAGUAGGGAAUCUGCGGCAAUGGACGAAAGUCUGACGGAGCAACUCCGCGUGAGUGAAGAAGGUUUUCGGAUCGUAAAGCUCUGUUGUUAGAGCAGCGGUAUCUAACCAGAAAGCCACGGCUAACUACGUGCCAGCAGCCGCGGUAAUUC